rnacentral:lncRNA from 1 species
AUGCUCAAGGUGACCUAGGGUGUAACUGCUAACCCUGAUAUGAUCAUCCAUAUUAUAUUUUAAUUUUCAAAAUACAUCACAUGGAUUAUCCCAACCAAGAUUUUAUUAAAUUGAAACACACUGAUACAUUAACUCCUACUUAUUUAAAGGGGUCAAUUCCAUCUUGACUCACACACCGACUUCACAAGUACUUGACUAUGCCCAGAAACCUUUCAUUGCUGAAUUAAAAAUUCAGAUAGUCCAGCAUCAAAGCAUAAUGAGUUGCUUACAAGUCACUGUGG